UAAUACGAGGGGUGCUAGCGUUGUCCGGAAUCACUGGGCGUAAAGGGUACGUAGGCGUCCUGAUAAGCAUUGAUUGAAAUCCUUCGGCUUAACCGGAGAACUGGUCAGUGAACUGUCAGGAUAGAGUUUGGUAGAGGAAAGUGGAAUUCCCGGUGUAGCGGUGAAAUGCGUAGAUAUCGGGAGGAACAUCGACGGCGAAGGCAGCUUUCUGGGCCAAUACUGACGCUGAGGUACGAAAGCGUGGGUAGCGAACAGGAUUAGAUACCCUGGUAGUCCACGCUGUAAACGAUGAGCACUUGGUGGUGGGAGAUUCGACCCUUUCACUGUCGUAGCUAACGCGUUAAGUGCUCCGCCUGGGGACUACGGUCGCAAGGCUG
rnacentral:rRNA from 1 species